GGCCUUGUAGUGUAGUGGUUUAUUGCGCUUUCUAACAUGUGACCCCUAGGUUGCUGGUUCAAUCCCUGCCAAUGGCA